rnacentral:rRNA from 1 species
CAUGCAAGUCGAACGAGAAUCUACUGAAGGAGGAUUCGUCCAACGGAAGUAGAGGAAAGUGGCGGACGGGUGAGUAGCGCGUGAGGAACCUGCCUUGAAGAGGGGGGCAACAGUUGGAAACGACUGCUAAUACCGCAUGAUGCAUAGGGGUCGCAUGAUCUUUAUGCCAAAGAUUUAUCGCUUCAAGAUGGCCUCGCGUCUGAUUAGCUGGUUGGCGGGGUAACGGCCCACCAAGGCGACGAUCAGUAGCCGGACUGAGAGGUUGAACGGCCACAUUGGGACUGAGAUACGGCCCAGACUCCUACGGGAGGCAGCAGUGGGGAAUAUUGGGCAAUGGGCGCAAGCCUGACCCAGCAACGCCGCGUGAAGGAAGAAGGCUUUCGGGUUGUAAACUUCUUUUAAGAGGGAAGAGCAGAAGACGGUACCUCUAGAAUAAGCCACGGCUAACUACGUGCCAGCAGCCGCGGUAAUACGUAGGUGGCAAGCGUUGUCCGGAUUUACUGGGUGUAAAGGGCGUGCAGCCGGGUCUGCAAGUCAGAUGUGAAAUCCAUGGGCUCAACCCAUGAACUGCAUUUGAAACUGUAGAUCUUGAGUGUCGGAGGGGCAAUCGGAAUUCCUAGUGUAGCGGUGAAAUGCGUAGAUAUUAGGAGGAACACCAGUGGCGAAGGCGGAUUGCUGGACGAUAACUGACGGUGAGGCGCGAAAGUGUGGGGAGCAAACAGGAUUAGAUACCCUGGUAGUCCACACUGUAAACGAUGAAUACUAGGUGUGCGGGGACUGACCCCCUGCGUGCCGCAGUAAACACAAUAAGUAUUCCACCUGGGGAGUACGAUCGCA